CAGUGAAGAAGAGUUUCUUGGUAUACCGUAAUGACUGCAGCCUUCCCCGGAGCAGCUCAGACUCUGAGUCCAGCAGCAGUAGCAGUAGCAGCGCUGCUUCAGACCGGACCAGCACAACGCCCUCAAAACAAGGCCGGGGCAAACCCUCCUUCUCUCGGGGCACUUUCCCAGAGGACAGCAGUGAGGAUACCUCAGGCACUGAGAAUGAGGCCUACUCCGUGGGCACUGGCCGCGGCGUGGGCCACAGCAGUAAGUUCCCUUGCCCAAGGCCAGGGAUGCUGGGGACCCAGUGUCAGGGUCUCGCCAGCCCCCCAGCUGCUGAUCCACCCCCUCUCCCCCAUUCCUGUGAAGUGGUAAGGAAGAGUCUGGGCCGGGGAGCUGGCUGGCUGUCAGAGGAUGAGGACUCCCCGCUGGAUGCUCUGGACCUCGUGUGGGCCAAAUGCCGAGGCUAUCCAUCAUACCCAGCUCUGAUCAUUGAUCCAAAGAUGCCCCGAGAAGGUAUGUUCCACCAUGGGGUUCCCAUCCCUGUGCCCCCACUGGAGGUGCUGAAACUUGGGGAGCAGAUGACCCAGGAAGCCCGAGAGCAUCUCUACCUCGUCCUCUUCUUUGACAACAAACGAACCUGGCAGUGGCUGCCCAGGACCAAGCUGGUUCCUCUGGGUGUGAACCAGGACCUAGACAAGGAGAAG
rnacentral:sRNA from 1 species